GUCUCUAUAGCUCAGUGGUAGAGCGAAAGAUUGCAGAUCUUUAGGUCACUCGUUCGAUCCGGGUUAGGGACU